UACGUAGGGUGCAAGCGUUGUCCGGAAUUAUUGGGCGUAAAGAGCUCGUAGGCGGUUUGUCGCGUCGGCUGUGAAAACCUGGGGCUCAACCCCGGGCCUGCAGCCGAUACGGGCAAACUAGAGUUCGGCAGGGGAGACUGGAAUUCCUGGUGUAGCGGUGAAAUGCGCAGAUAUCAGGAGGAACACCGGUGGCGAAGGCGGGUCUCUGGGCCGUAACUGACGCUGAGGAGCGAAAGCGUGGGGAGCGAACAGG
rnacentral:rRNA from 1 species